CUUUUAGAUAAAGCUGUGGCCUGUGCUCUUCAUCCCUUCUUCAACCAAACACACCUCUGACCUCUGUAGUCUGUCUGUCUGUCUGUCCUCUGCUUAACUACAUCCAUCCUUGAUGUUCCCUCUUCUUUCUCUCUCCUCCUCACUUUCCUUCUCCACCACCGGUAAUUUGUUCUUAAAGCAACCCACUUUUCCCCAUUAUCCUCCCAAAUUCAGGCCUCAACAUCCACAACAACACCCACUUCCCCACUCUCACCAUUUUACCAAAACGAAAUCGGCCCAAAACGAUGCAAUGUUUGAUGCAUACAUCCCACAAAAUUCACAACCUAGAACACUUUUCCCUGGUGGGUAUAAACGCCCGGAGAUUAAGAUACCCAACAUUGUGCUCCAAUUGAGUGCUGCUCAGAUUCUUAGUGAUACUUCUUUUGUUCUUGAUUUUGUCGAUUCCGCCGUUGCGAAGCGCGUUGGAGUUGUUGUUGUUAAUGGAGGUGAAGGGAGUAGUAGUAAUAGUGGUGGUGGUCAGUUGUAUGAGGCUGCUUGUUUGUUGAAGUCUGUCAUUCGUGACCGAGCUUACUUGUUGGUUGCUGAGCGUGUUGAUAUUGCUGCUGCUGUUAAUGCUAGCGGUGUUUUGUUAUCUGAUCAAGGCCUUCCUCCGAUUGUAGCAAGGAACACAUUGAUGAGUUCAAAAUCAGAGUCAGUUGUCCUUCCUGUUGUAGGAAAAAUAGUGCAAACUGUGAAUUCUGCACUCAAUGCUUCUAGUGCUGAAGGCGCUGACUUUCUUAUUUUGAGUAGUUUUGCCGAAGGUUCCGCUGACCUUUUUAUGAAUUCUAUUAGCGAGGUUGUCAAGAUCCCGGUCUUCAUUGAAAUGAAAUUGAUAACAGAUGCUGGGUCAUUCGAUGAAGUAUCAAAGGUGCUCAUGUCUGGUGCAAGUGGUGUUGUUACUUCAUUGGAGGAACUAAAGUCUUGUGGUGAUGGUCUGAGCAAAAUUUUAUAUGAUCCAUCCAUUACAGACGAAAGAAGCCAGGAUAAAGUUGCAAGAUUCACUAAUGGAUUUCCUGGUGAUGUGGGGAUAACGAGCUUUGUCAACCUAGAGGACAGAGAGAUGCAGUUCAUACAGAGGGAGAGACGGUUGUUAGUGGAAGCAGUUGACAUCAUUGAGAAGGCUGCACCACUGAUGGAGGAAAUUUCACUUCUCAAUGAUGCUAUCUCCCAACUUGAUGAGCCAUUUUUGCUGGUCAUAGUGGGUGAAUUUAACUCUGGAAAGUCAUCAGUCAUCAAUGCACUCCUUGGAGGAAAAUUCGUGAUGGAGGGGGUAGUUCCUACCACCAAUGAGAUAACUUUCUUGCGCUAUGCCGAGUUAGAUGCUAAAGAGCAGCAACGUUGUGAAAGGCUUCCAGAUGGUCAAAAUAUCUGCUAUCUUCCUGCCGAAAUUCUGAAGAAGAUGGUUAUUGUUGAUACUCCUGGAACUAAUGUCAUUCUACAAAGGCAGCAGCGCCUCACUGAGGAAUUUGUGCCUCGAGCUGACAUACUUCUUUUCGUUCUUUCUGCCGAUCGUCCAUUAAGUGAGAGUGAGGUUGCAUUCCUACGCUACACGCAACAGUGGAAGAAAAAUGUUGUAUUCUUGUUAAAUAAAGCCGAUCUGUACAGGAAUGCCAGUGAGCUUGAUGAAGCCAUUACAUUCGUAAGAGAUAAUGUGGGGAAGUUGCUGAAUGUAGAACAUGUAAAGCUAUUUCCUGUAUCUGCACGAGCUGCUCUUGAAGCAAAACUUGCAACCGCUGAUUUUGAAACAGAUCAACAGAAUCUGUUAGCGUCUAAAUACUACUACUCAAGCUCUCAGAGUUUUGAUGAGUUUGAGAAUUUCUUAUAUGAUUUCAUGGAUGGUUCAACAACUGCUGGCCUUGAGAGGAUGAAAAUUAAGCUUCAAACACCUAUAGCAAUUGCCGAGCGACUAUUGUCCUCCUGUCAGACACUGGUGACACAAGACUGCAGGUAUGCCCAGAAGGACUUGAUGUCAGUGAAGGAGUUAAUUUGCAGUGUUCGGGAUUAUGGAACUAAAAUGGAAAGCGAGAGCAUGUCAUGGAGGCGGCAAGUUUUCUCACAGGUUGGAAGUGCAAAAGAGCGUGCGUUGAAACUUGUGGAAUCUACUCUCCAGCUGUCCAAUUUGGAUCUUGCUUUUGCAAUGUUUUUUGGAGGAGAGAAGUCUACUUCAACGGCCACAAGGAGUAUUCAAAAUGACAUUGUUACCCCUGCACUUGCUGAUGUUCAAAGAAUUCUUGGGGAAUAUACUUCAUGGUUAAGAGAGAACAACAUCCGUGAAGGUAUGCGGUACAAGGAAACAUUUGCGAAAAGAUGGCCUUUACUUGUUGACUCACACAAUCAGGCGGAUUUUACCACCAAUCUUCAGAAUUGUUUAGCGCCGAGGGAAGUUGAUACUCAGAGUUUAAUAUCAACAGGGAAGUUUAGCGCCACAACAGCAUCAAAGUUGUUUGAGCAAGAAAUUCGUCAAGUGUUCUUUGGAGCUUUUGGAGGUCUGGGGGCUGCUGGUUUAUCUGCUUCACUACUCACCUCAGUGCUGCCAACUACGUUAGAAGACCUUCUUGCACUCGGGCUUUGUUCUGCUGGCGGUUUGUUGGCCAUAUCAAAUUUUCCAGCUCGUAGGCAAAAGGUUGUUGAUAAAGUGAAAAGUAUUGCAGAUACUGUAGAACAAGAAAUCGUGGAAGCCAUGCAAAAGGAUUUGUUGAUGACAAUCAAGAAUAUGGAAGACUUUGUAUCACUUGUUGGCAAACCAUAUGAGGAGGCAGCGCAACAGAGAUUAGAUAAGUUACUGGAUACUCAAGAACAACUGACUAUUAUUGAGAAAAAACUACAAACGUUACAGGUUGAACUUCAAAAUUUCCAUUUAACCUGAGCUGUUGAGGAGCAAUCUCAUUUUACCGAUGGUGAUCCAACUAAAGGAAAAUCUUGCAGCAUGAGAAAAAAAAUAAUGUAUACUCUGCGACUCUGAUGUUUAUUAUAUACUGAAAGAUAAUGAUGCUAUAUCCCUUAAUAACGAUGAGUGUUGAUAAUAUUCUGAUGAUGAUGCGGCCGGUGCGAGAUUCGUCCACCAUGGUGCAGUCAAGCUUCUGCUGCAUUCCACUACAUGUUUUUAUAAAACCAAAAGAGUCCGAGGACCAGCCACCAGGUGUUGCGUUCAUUCUUUAGUCUUACUGUGCGAAAGCUACAUCUGAAAUGUCAUUGGGGGAGAAAAGGCAACACUUUGUUGUAGUCAAAAGCUUUAAACAAAUUGCACGGAAGGAUAAUGGAGGCUUUGGAGUGCCUGUGUAAGCCAUAUGUAUCCGAUUCUUCCUUUAUGUCUUCCUGGGUAAAAGGUCUACGAAAAUAAAGAUAUUCUUGUAUUCCCGGUGUUUGUCUUUUAUCAUUCUCACUUUUCUAUGCGCGUUUUUCAAUGUACAUUUUCGAACUUAAAUAUCUUUCGUGAUAUAUUAGUAAACAUUAUAACGAUUGAAUAUUAAUAAAAGUACUAAUUGAGAUGAA